CCCUAACGGAAUAAAGUCCCAUAAUUCUAUUAUAUGCAAAAUGUGUUACUAAAAUCAUCAAAUACGUUUGAAUUCCACUUGUUGCAUUAUUUUUAGAAGCGUCUUUCUUUAAUGAAGCAGUGAUUAAUGACAAAUGAGAAUCACAUGAAAGUGUUUUAUUAAAGCCAACACCCAAAGGAUACAAUUUCACAACAAAAACCAAAUCACACUAAGUGUCAAAAACUUUUAUAAAGCACCAGUAACAAUACCCGUGUAUAAUCAACAUUUUGAAAACCUCUAUUUGAGUGCUGUGCAGUAAUCUGUGUAAUUUCAUAAUAAAUUUGUGCAUAUUAACCACAAAACACAUAUGAAAGCCUUGAAUAAAUAGAUAAUACUUAGUAAUACAAUAGCAAUUUUUAAAUUUUAUCAAUAAGGUAAAUCAUGAAAAGAAAACCAGAACCCGAGAAUUCAAAAGAAUGAAUUAAAAAAAAAAAAAAAUCUACUUAUUUUGUUAUUUGGGCUCAAAAUUUCCCAUUGCUUGCUAGCCAUUGGUGAAUGAAGAAUUCACUCUUGGUCGAUGUGCCAUGGACUGUACAGACUUGCAAUGACAAUACUGUUUAGGCCUGUCUAGUAGCUUAGGACUGAAAUUGUGAGCCCAAAUCAUUACUACUAAUGUAUAUAAAUAUAUGUCUUCUGUAGGGGUUCCCUCUCCUUGCCAUAAUGAUUACAAAUACGAUAGGCUGUCCUGAGUACUUUCGGCCUUGUUAAUUGAAAUACCAUAGCUGUAUUUCUCUUCAGGCAAUCCAUAAAAAAAUAAACAUUUCAGCCAGUUUCUAUGCAAAACACGUGGAAUGUAAUAUGUAGUCAUAAGCUGGGUCUAUUUAAUUUGAUAUAGUACAAACUCUAAAAUUGUAAUGUUUAUUCAUGAGCUGGACCUAUUGAACUUAAUACAGUGAUGGAAAAUGAUCCAUUAAGGUUUUUAAAUAUAACAAAGGGAGUCUUGGUGUCAAUUUUUUGCCACCUUCAUAGUGACCAGGAGGCACACGGUUAAGGAACUCUCCCUCCUUUUUUCAGAUUUCAAUGUCCUAAAUUAUGGGUAGGAAAGAGAACAUUAGACCUGAUACUAAUCUAGCUCAAAUUAUUAAAAUUCCAAUUUCGCUGAAGGCAAGUAUCUAAAAUAUAUAUGUACUUUCUUUAAAAGAAAGGAAAGAGAAUGGAAAAAACACCAACAUUGACCAUAUAUGGCUGAUUUAUUUUAACACAGGGAUCUUCAUAAAUGGUAAGUUUCUUAAUGACCCUUCUUUAGCUGAGGAUUUAGCUCAGAUACCAAUCCUUUAACAAAGUUAUAUAAAAAUAUUUUUUUGUACAACAAAACUUCAGACACCUCUCUACUGCAGUGGUUGCCAAAUGAGUCUUUUAGGCAUACCAAGUGCCAGGAUUCCAUUGCUAUAGGGAUACUGGAAAAACAUGGACCAAGGAUUUACCUUGAAGACUAGGCUGGGAGCCACUGCUCUUAAUAUUAUGGGCAGUUUUCUUGGGCAUUGCAGCAAAGAUAAGCCUGUUACAACCAAAUGGGGACUAAAUAAGAUCGCAUGACAGCAACCUAGAUUUAGAUUCUGAGCUACAGGAUAAGAAUUACUGUUUUGAAACUCUUACUGUUUUUAUUCUAUAGACACUUCCAUUGGCCUCAUUGAGUUCUAAAGACCAGUAAUUGUCUGUGUUACUCACUCCCCUUGUUGUCUUGCAGUGUCUUUAAAAUCAGUGGUUUGCAGUUAGCACGCAAGUAGACAUUUGGUUCCUUACUCUCCAGCAAUGCACUCUGUAAAACCUAAAGGGCUAAGAUAGUCUUUACAAGUAUACCCAAGUCUAUUUAGGGGCAUCUUAUAAAAAUGCUGUGUACUCCUUUAAAUAUUUAAUAUCUUAACGUGUAGCCAACAGUUGCUUCAUCUACAAUAGAAAAGAAGGUGUGAACUCUUCUAAAAAGGAACUUCCACAACACAUUUAAAAUAAUAAAUAGCAAAAAUAAAAGUAAUAAUAAAUAGAAUAAAUUCAAAAUGAUCAACUCAGAAAUGACAUUAAAGUAAUGAAUACUGUUGAGGAUUCUGUAAUUUCCAACACCAUGGUGAAGGAUCUUUGAAGCGGUUCCUUCUUUACAAAGAAAACAUUGAGUAAUACAAAUUGUAUUAAAUUGUAGAUCUUUCAAUAGACAUUAGAAUGGGAAAAAACACAUUAAGUGCAACACUAAAUUGAUGGGAGUAAUCACAAUAAGUUAUAAAACACAGUUUGGUGGAUAGUUACAAAACAGAACAGAAAACAGUGAAUCCGCACGAUCAAUGUGAUGACAGUGACAAAAAUCGCUGUUUAUUGCAUUACUCUUUGAAUAAUGCAAGGGGAAAAAAAACUGAAAUAUACCUUACAAUCCAAGAUGUAGUACUCAGGUUACAGGAUCAUAACUAUGCACUUUAAAUAAAUAGAUUGCAUUUUUUGUACAUUCACUGAGCAACAUUCUAGGAUGAACUCACAAAGUACAGAGCAUCGAUCGGUUCUGUGUGCUUUCGCUCCUCAACAAUCUAGCACCAUGAGGAAUAUAGUUUUAAAACAACUGGAAUGCCCAGGUUAACCACCACUAAUCUACAUAACGCACUGGAGAGCCUGGAUUAUUUUCUAAUUUUAUAUAUCUGAAGACAGGCCUUAAUUAAGAAGCUGGAUAAACCACUAGAAAAUGUUGUGUAUUGUGACAAGAGUGAUGCUCUGUGAUGUGAGUUAAUCCUGAAAUAUGUUCUAUUGUGUAAUAUAUGUACAUUGUAUUUUGUACAUAUGCCACUAUAUUCUGAACACUGUAUCUUAGAUUUCACAUCAGUUUUGUUCUCAAUGUUUAUUUUACACUCAAUAUACUUUCUAUUUAUAUAUCAAUAUUCAAAACAUAAAAUAGUAAAAGCCAUAAAAAAUUCACAGCCUAUAUUUUUUCCCCAAAACAGGACUUAAAACAUCAAUCCAGAAUUUGCUGAUAAGUGUAUUAGUUCUGUAAACUGAUCCUAUAGCAUAAUAAAUGGUGUUUAAUUUAGAGACUUAAUUUUAUAUCAGUGUGCUAUAUAAAUAAAUGAUAUGGCACACUGAAAAAGAUUAAUCUAUGAAGUUUAUUCAUUAAACAGUGAGUUGAUCUAGGCUGAUCUGAGAUGACAACGUAUAAAAUGAAAUAAAAUUAAUUAAUUGGAAUACAUAUUAAACUUUAUUAUUCUUUCAAAAUUGGUUAUAAUUUGGUUUCUUUUUCAGUUUGAUUGGCACCUGAAAUUAAGAUGUAGCAUAGACCUGUGUAGAGAUACAGAAAUAAAUUUAGUAACUGAUAAUAGCACAAAAAAAGUAGUACCUUUUAAUUUUGUAUUAGUUAUUUUCAUUGUGAAGAUUCUAGUAGAACAUAUGAAGGAUCAAUACAUAUCCAAGCAAGCUGGUGAGAUACCUGAAACAUAAAGAGCUUGUUAUGGAGUGCAGGGACCCCACACCACACUCUCAGGGAAUUAGUGCAUUUCAAAUUUAAGGUCAAAGUAACAAAACUGAUAACUUUCUUUAUUCUAUUCUUCCAGUUCAUUAACUUUGCUCACUUUAGCCAAUAACCUUGCACAUCUACUGGAUAGUAACGGGAGGCAGCAUGUAGUAUCCAUCUCUGUGCAGCAAAUGUUUUACAAGUACAACAUUGAGUAAAGAUAGUGCCUUAAUAGUUAUGGAGAUAAACAUAUAAAAUAGAGCCUACAUUUGAUCAAUUUCAUUGCAAUUCUGAUUCUUGGCCAAUUUUUAAGAGGCGUUUUAAAUAAGAAGUACUUUAGCGUGGUCUUACUCAGAAUUUUCUUUUCUUUCACUACAGUGUGGCUUGGUGAUAAAAAUGUUUUUAAAAAAAAUUACAUAAACAUAAAUAAAUAAAAAAGAGUGGGGACCAGUUGUUUAAGUAAAACCUCCCAACUGGAAAUGCUGAAUCAUCAGCAGUAGCAAUAUUCUGAAACAGGUUCAACUUUAUGUCCAUAUUUUUUGUUUGACUGUUUUUGAAAAAAAAAUAUUCUCUAACCAACGUACCCUAUACCUUUUGGUUUAUAUUUGUUUCCCAAAUGUCAUCUAGGUAUAACAUAUACAACCAACUCACUGUUCAGCAAAUAUAUCUCCUUAGUUUAAACAUACCUGUUUAUAAAUUUGGCAAUUAAAAAUGACGCGUCACUUUGGUUUCCACACUUUGGUAUUUUGAUUUCCACAUAUAUAAAUUUAAGCAUACAGAAAAUAUUAAGCAAUGUAAAUAAAAUAAUAGGAGAUAAUGCAAUCUGCUAAGCAAAACUGAAGUAUCUUCAUAACGUUUCAUCUAAUUUUUAGAUUAUUAUGUACCUUAUUUUAAGCUUGCUGAAUCACAUCUUAAAGUAACACAGUAAGUGACAUUUUUAUUUUCAUAACAUAAACAGCCAGCCAAUCUUAGGAAUGGGAUUUGUAGUGAUUUUUUUUGGAAUGGUUGGUAAUGCUGAAUGCCCUUUGUACCCAAAGUAAUUCCAAGAUGGCUAAAAACCCAAUUUAAUCGAAGAAAAAACAAAAAAUUGAAUAGGGAGUUUCCACAAUGUUUAAAGUAAUAUACAAUUAUGGAAAUACGAUUUCUGACUAACGCUAUUUCAGAAGGUUCAGGUCAAUGAAAUAAAACACGCUUUGGUUUAAAAACCUUAGCGGUUUAAAAAAAAAAAAAAAAGAUUGCUAUUUUAUCACUAUUACUGCGAUUUUUUUUUAUUUUUUUUUAAAACCUAACAUUUAGCAAUUAAGAUUUCACUCCAAUACAAUUCAAAGUUUAGUGAACGACACUAAAAGUGCAAGGUCGGUAAUUCAAAGUCAAUUUCAAAUUUUAGCUGAAAAAUGUUGGAUAAUUAUUCAAUUCAGUUUUGUUUUCAAUUCAGCUCUUUAAGCCUAAGAUUUUAACAUUUUCUUUGAAUUCUUGACCAUUUACACUUUAGCGAUUAAACCUGUCAGUAUGUAAUUCAACCUUGCUACUUUAACUUAUGUGUGAAGCUGUGUUUAGAAUAUAGGAAAUAUGUAUGUGUAGUGUACGUCUAAAAAGAGUGGUAUCAUUUCAAAGGGUUCUCUUCACCAAAGUGCAAGACAAUUAAAGAAAACACUCUUGAAACGUAGUUUUAAAUCGCUUGAGUGCUUCUACCAUCACUAAUGGAAAAAGCAGCUAUUCAGAAAAAAAUAAAAUAUAAAAAAAAUAAAAAAUUUCUUUAUAAUUUUUUUGACUAACAACCCUUUAAGAAAAGAAGGGGAGCGGUCAAGGAUAGGGGUUUAGUGUAACACCCUCAUCCCGUACCUAACCCACAAAAAAAGGUCACCUAGACUGGAAAAGUAGGGGAUAACCCUAGGAAAUACCUUUAAGGUUUAAUAAUAUUAUAUAUGAUGCACUGUGAAAAAGAUUACCACCGCUCUCCAAAAAGAAAUAAACACCAAACAACAACAAAAAAACAUUCAGAAAGCUACCAUAUUUUCUUUUACCAUAAGCAGUUAACUACAUCUAUGUGUAACUGCAUCAUAACUCAUCCUCUGAAACAUGGCCAACUUUCAGCAAUUUACACUCUUCCGUAACGUGGCAGUUUUCGAGGAGGUGACUGUAUUGCUUCUUGAGGUCAUCAUAUACGCAGACAGACUGGUGUGAGUGAGGAAAUGGCAGGAGGUUUUCAUUCAGCAGCAUUUGCACUUGGUACUCAUCCUCGGGGGUCUCGGCCAAAUCGCAGUGAUAUAGCACAAACACCAGGUUGGAAGCGUAGGGGACAAUACGUCCGCUGCGAAAUUUCCUUUCACUUUGUAAACUGAAGUUCUCAGCUGUAAGAGGCUUCUCAUCCUUAAACAGACCCAUCAGAGCUAGAAGGGGCAAAAGGGUCUCUGCGUGUCCAAACUGCAUUACCACCGGGUUGGAGACUUUCUGGGACCU